UUUAAAUGGCCGCAGUAUAUUAACUGUGCAAAGGUAGCAUAAUCAUUAGUCUUUUAAUUGAAGGCUGGUAUGAAUGGUUGGACGAGAUAUUAACUGUUUCAUAAAAAUUUAUAAUAAAAUUUUAUUUUUUAGUUAAAAAGCUAAAAUAUAUUUAAAAGACGAGAAGACCCUAUAAAUCUUUAUAUUUAAAUUAUUAUAAUUUUAUAGAUUUUUUUUAUUAUAUUAAUUAAUAAUAUUUUAUUGGGGUGAUAUUAAAAUUUAAUAAACUUUUAAUUGUUUAGAACAUUAAUUUAUGUAUAAUUGAUCUUUUAUUAAUGAUUAAAAAAAUAAGUUACUUUAGGGAUAACAGCGUAAUUUUUUUGGAGAGUUCAUAUCGAUAAAAAAGAUUGCGACCUCGAUGUUGGAUUAAGAUAUAAUUUUAGGUGUAGUCGCUUAAAUUUUAAGUCUGUU
rnacentral:rRNA from 1 species